GAAGAACAGACUCACCUCCACCUCCUCGCCAGUGGUGAACAUGAGUUCAGUGAUGAAGCUAAUAGCUGCAGGUUCUCCACACACAUGGAUCUCCUCAGCACACAGACCUGAUCACGUGAACAAAUAUGGUCCAUUUAGCUACACAUGAAGCACUGUGCACCCAUGGACCAUUAUUACUGACAUACCAGUCGCUGAACACUGGAGCGCUUUGGACAGG